rnacentral:rRNA from 1 species
UACAGAGGUCCCAAGCGUUGUUCGGAUUCACUGGGCGUAAAGGGUGCGUAGGUGGUGAGGUAAGUCGGAUGUGAAAUCUCCGGGCUCAACCCGGAAAUGGCAUUGGAAACUACCUUGCUGGAGGAUUUGAGGGGGGAUUGGAAUACUUGGUGUAGCAGUGAAAUGCGUAGAUAUCGAGAGGAACACCUGCGGCGAAGGCGGGUUGCUGGGCCGACACUGACGCUGAUGCGCGAAAGCCAGGGGAGCGAACGGG